rnacentral:rRNA from 1 species
AUACGGAGGGUGCAAGCGUUAAUCGGAAUUACUGGGCGUAAAGCGCGCGUAGGUGGUUUGAUAAGUCGGAUGUGAAAGCCCCGGGCUCAACCUGGGAACUGCAUUCGAAACUGUCUGACUAGAGUAUGGUAGAGGGAAGUGGAAUUCCGGGUGUAGCGGUGAAAUGCGUAGAUAUCCGGAGGAACAUCAGUGGCGAAGGCGACUUCCUGGACCAAUACUGACGCUGAGGUGCGAAAGCGUGGGGAGCAAACAGGAUUAGAAACCCCAGUAGUCC